UACGAAGGGGGCUAGCGUUGUUCGGAAUUACUGGGCGUAAAGCGUGCGCAGGCGGCUUCUCAAGUCAGGGGUGAAAGCCCAGAGCUCAACUCUGGAAUUGCCUUUGAGACUGAGUGGCUUGAGUACGAGAGAGGUGAGUGGAAUUCCCAGUGUAGCGGUGAAAUUCGUAGAUAUUGGGAAGAACACCGGUGGCGAAGGCGGCUCACUGGCUCGUAACUGACGCUCAUGCACGACAGCGUGGGGAUCAAACAGG
rnacentral:rRNA from 1 species